AGUAACUCCGUUUGCUUAAUCUGUAGUAUACGAACCAAAUGCAGGGGAAGCGGCAAUCUCCCGACCGAGAUCCGUGAACGGCUCCAAACUCCCGAACGGCAAUACACGAACUGCUGCUAGCCGCCGAACAACAAUAUUCACCGAGUGGCUUCCGUUCCAUCCAGCAGUCUCUAAACGUGAAGAAGAACUCCCCCCAAUAACGAGACAGAAACUCCGCAUUUAGGGUCAAACAGGAUCUGGCUUUACUGUGGGCUACCUGCCCGUAUUUAUGCAGGUCUCCCACUUGGUGGACACUCCCCUAGCGGACCAAAUGGGAGACUGGAAUUACAGAUGGACAUAAAGACAUUCCAGACAUACAGUCACAGCUUUUACCCACAGUGCAUUAUGAUUCCCUCCCCUCUGCCC